CCAUUAGGGUUUGAUUUCGGAGAGGAGGCCUGAGACACUGCCUCCACUUCCAAGGAAGGCAGCAGGAGCGAAAAUUUCUCAAUGACACCUCGUCGAAGAAGUGACAAGAAUUAACAGAGUUGGGUCCUUUUUGGAACAGCAUCUGUGAUGAGAACAAUUUAAAACCAUUAACUAGUAGCCAUGAGAGGGCAAGUCUGGUGCCAGCAGCCGCGGUAAUUCCAGCUCUUAGAGUGUAUAUGAAUGUUGUUGUAGUUAAAAAGCACAUAGCUGAUAAUGAUUUAUCAGCCACUUAUCGGUCACUUGUGGUCGGUAUUGUUGGUGUGAUAGACGAAAAGUCCAUUGAGUAGCAGGCGGUUGGUGAAACAUUGAUGCGCGCCCUUCAUUCCUACACGGUUUGGAGGACCUCUUUGGAAGAGAUUGACUUUGAAUAAAUUAGAGUGUUUAAAACAGGCUUUCUAGCCUUUGAAUAUAUUAGCAUAGUAUCACAGAAUAUGAUCGACUCACCCAGAAGCCUCGUAGAUUUUCUUCGAGGUGGGUCGUAUAAUGAGAGAUAGGAGCUGAUGGAGCGAUCUUUAUUUGUUGGGGAGGGGUGAAAUCCUAUGAUCCAACGAAGAAACACUAAUGCGAAAGCACCUCGCUAAGAUGUUUUUAUUAGUCAAGUACGAAAGUUAAGGGCGCGAAGAUGAUUAGAUACCAUCGUAGUCUUAACUGUAAACAAUGUUGAUUUAGGAUGUGAAAUCAUUUAUUAUGACUUUUCACGGAUUAUACGAGAAAUCUAGAAUAAUCGAACUCUAGGGGAAGUAUUAUCGCAAGAUAGAAACUUAAACGAAUUGACGGAAGAGCACCACCAGGCGUGGAACCUGCGGCUUAAUUUGACCCAACGCGGGAAACCUUACCAGGACAAGACAUUAAAAGGAUUGACAGAUUGAUAGAUCUUUCAUGAUAUAAUGAAAGGUGGUGCAUGGCCGUUUUUAGUUGGUGGUUUGAAUUGUCUGGUUAAUUCCGAUAACGUAACAAGACCUUUUCCUGCUAUUUAGCUUAGGAAAAGAGCUGAUUUCAGUGGCGUUCAGCCUUCUUCGGGAGGUGCCCUUCAGCUGUCUUAACUUAGCUUCUUAGAGGUACGCUUUUUGUUUGUGAAUAAUUAAAAGGAAGAAAGACAAUAACAGGUCUGUGAUGCCCUUAGAUGUUUUGGGAUGCACGCGCGUUACAAUGAGACUAUCACAUAGUUCUCCUAGUUAGAGAUUACUUAGGAAAUCUCAGAGACAGUCUCGUGAUGGGGAUUGUGUUUUGCAAUUAUCGCACAUGAACGAGGAAUGCCUUGUAGGGGUGUGUCAUUAACGCACCCCGAAUUAGUCCCUGCUCUUUGUACACACCGCCCGUCGCUCCUACUGACC
rnacentral:rRNA from 1 species